rnacentral:misc_RNA from 1 species
UCUAACCCGCAAGGGAGGGGGACGCCUAAGGCAGGGCUGAUGACUGGGGGAAGUCGUAACAAGGUAGCCGUACCGGAAGGUGUGGCUGGAUCACCUCCUUUUAGGGAGACCUACCACCGCCAGCAACGAGUUUUGGGCGUGAGUUUCGUUGUGGCAGGUGGUCAUCCCGAGGUCAAUCGGGGUUUAGCCUUUGGCUGUACUUCCAAGCCUAUUUUGUCCGGGGCGAGGGCU